AAACUAGCAGUUUUUUUUCUCUUAUUUCCCUCCAUCCUUUCACCUACCAUGAGCCACACUCUAUUCUCCAAAUGAGGUGGCUGCAGUCCCUGUUCUCUCCACUGAAGAAGCUCUGGAUUCGUCUGCACUCGGCUCGAAAAAAGAGUAUGUCAUCAUUUCCUUUAAUUCUUUACAUUCACUGAUUGAAUAAUGCUUUCUACUUCGAAUUUCAGACUAAUAUACUUCAAUAUUUCCACAACCUCAGAUAACAUCAUUAGCUUUCCAUUUUUCUUCUCAUUAUAUCCUGCUUGUGCAUUACAGAGAACUGCUGAGUGCGUGUAAUCACAGACAAACAUGCAAGAGAAUUCAAAUUUUUCAAACUUUUUAGUGCCUAAACUACACGUUCAAAAUAGUAUAUAUCCUCUGUUACCUCUUAUAUAAUCAUGAUUAAACUUGUAGCAUGAUAAUAUAAACUUGCAUUCUGUACCUCUAUGUAUCUAUUGAUGUUCUGAUUUGCAUUUAUGGAUAUACCCAUACUUUGUUUUCAUUGGCAUUUCUAGACUUUCUUGAGAGAGCAUUUACAAAUCAAACUCACUGCAAUUUCCUAUAUUGGUUUUUCAGGUAGAGGGAUAUACAUCCUAUAUGAAGAUAUCAAGAACUGUCCCUAUGAAGAUGUGCAUGUUCUUUGGUCCAUACUAGUGGAAUCACAUCCACCAGCUUUGCCACCACCAAAAUGAUGUACUCACAUACUGUAUGAAGCAGGGAGAUUACAUACGUACCUAAUAAAAUUUUUACUCAUUUAGGUUUUCGCUUUUCUUUCCACUUUCUAGUUUUCAUUCUCUUUUGAGUGUGCUCUGUGCAGAUUAUCUUAAUAAAUUAUUGAAAUUAUUCACUUAUUCUGGAUAUACUGGCCCUUCGAAUAAUUCCAAAUAGAAAAAAGAUGAUAUUAUCUAGAAGCAAAAAUGAAGAAUGAAAGAGCAUCAUGUGUAUAAGAGGCUUUGUAUCAAAGCAUAAUUUAGUAGAACUUUUCUGGGAG
rnacentral:lncRNA from 1 species